UACGGGGGGUGCGAGCGUUGUCCGGAAUCACUGGGCGUAAAGGGCGCGUAGGUGGUUUGAUAAGGGUGUGGUGAAAGUCCGGAGCUCAACUCCGGAUCUGCCGUGCCGACUGUCAAACUCGAGGGCUGUAGAGGCAGACGGAAUUCCGGGUGUAGCGGUGGAAUGCGCAGAUAUCAGGAGGAACACCAAUGGCGAAGGCAGAUCUCUGGGCCGUAACUGACGCUGAGGAGCGAAAGCAUGGGGAGCGAACAGG
rnacentral:rRNA from 1 species